rnacentral:rRNA from 1 species
CAGUAAUGUCAAACCUUCUUGGUCAAAGCUAAGCAGGGCUGGGCCUGGUUAGUACUUGGAUGGGAAACCACUGGGCAUUCCAGAUACCACAGU